rnacentral:misc_RNA from 1 species
AAAGUAUGUCUACCUUGUAAAAUUAAUGCUUAACAUAAUCUAAAGUAGAGCAGCGUAGGCAACCAAAUCCAGCAGGAAUGAUAAAGGAAAUCCAAAUCAUGAAAAUGUAUCUUUUUUCUUUAGGCUGCCCUGUGAGUUGUACCCUUGAAUAAUACUAGACCUGAUCACAGGUUGGGAUACCCACCCUGCCCAGCCCAGCCCAAGACACUUAGG